rnacentral:rRNA from 1 species
GAUGAAACGCUAGCGGCAGGCUUAAUUACAUGCAAGUCGAGGGGCAGCACAGGUAGCAAUACUGGGUGGCGACCGGCAAACGGGUGCGGAACACGUACGCAAACCUUCCCAAAAACAGGUGAAUAGCCCUCCGAAAGGAGGAUUAAUACACCGUACCAUAAUGAGGUGGCACCACUUUAUUAUUAUAGGCAGUAAUGUCGGUUUUGGAUGGGCGUGCGCCUGAUUAGGUAGUUGGCGGGGUAACGGCCCACCAAGCCUUUCGAUCAGUAACUGGUGUGAGAGCACGACCAGUCACACGGGCACUGAGACACGGGCCCGACUCCUACGGGAGGCAGCAGUAAGGAAUAUUGGUCAAUGGACGCAAGUCUGAACCAGCCAUGCCGCGUGAAGGAUGACGG